UUUCUGUUUCUUACAGAUUAAUGCCAAAUUUUUCCACAUCACGACCUUGCCUUUACAAUCGAGAUGUAUGGCCUCUUUGGACAGACAGAGCUCUCAGCUUCUCCAGAGUCUGGACAUAGACAUCAGAAGAGAGUGCCUGCUGAAGUGCCUGAUCAUGUACCUUGGUGAAGAUGCAAGCUGUCUGAUCAAAGAAUACCAGGCUAACCAGAGGGAGGAAGCGGGGAGAGAA